AAACUUUCACACUUAGAAAAAAUUGCGCCCGACCCCAACUCUCGCUCGACUCCUUCAUUCUGAGCUCACCCCAAAACAGAUCUCCUCCCAAACUCGAUCUCCAUUCUCAACCCGACCCCAAACUUGACCUCCUCCUCCAUUCUCUAGCUCAGACCCGGACCCAGCCUCCUCCGCCUUUCUCCGCAUCCGCCUCCGCCUCCGACCCCAACCUUAACCCCCUCCUCCUUUCUCCUUCUUCGUCUCAGAAACAAUGAACGCGAAGAACACCCCCACAGAGACCACCGGCGAGUCUCGAUUCUUGGGAACCAUCUCCGCCUCAUCGAUUCGAAACCUCCACCCCAGAUCCAUCUCAACCAAGCACGGAAAAUCCUUCUUCAGCCCCAAAAUUGCCGCACCAAUUGCCCCAAAAUUGCUCGGCCUCGAAAGCGUUUCGCCGAGCUCGUUGAAGGACAAGGUUUAUAGGAUCUUCUGCAGGGAAAAGCGUAAGCUCGCCGGUAGAAAGGCUUGGGCUUUGAGUUGUCAGUUCUAAUUUCUAAGAAAAGAAUAAAAUUAGAACGAUGGGCACUAACUAUUCUGGGGAAGGAAGCACUGGCGGAAUCAUACAGAAAGUGAUGGAAACUAUUUUCAAAAGAGUGGAGACAACGAAAGAUAACACGGAGUUCUUGAUCAGGGUAUCGUUUAUUGAGAUAUUCAAGGAGGAAGUGUUUGACUUGCUUGAUCCAAAUUCAUCAACUCUCUCUAAAAAUGAAGGGGCAGCUACUACAAAGCCUAUAGCAAGAGUGCCUAUUCAAAUUAGUUAGAGAAACAGUGAGUGGAGGGAUAACACUUGCUGGUGUGACUAAGCCAGAGGUUAGGACGAAGGAAGAUAUGGGAUCAUAUCUGGUUCGAGGUUCUUUAGCUCGUGCUACAGGGAGCACAAACAUGAACAGUCAGUCAAGUUGCUCACAUGCUAUAUUUACAAUAACCAUGGAGCAAAAGAAGAUUUCUCACUGUCUGAAUGGAGCAAAGAAUGAUUAUAUCGGUGAUGACAUACUAUGUGCAAAACUCCAUCUAGUUGACCUAGCAGGUUCUGAGCGGGCAAAACGAACAGGUGCAGAUGGCAUGCACUUGAAAGAAGGCAUUCAUAUCAACAAGGGUUUACUUGCUCCUCGAACCCGUCUUCCGCCAGUUCUAAUUUCUAAUAUUUUAUUUUUCUGUCCUACUAAGUAAUAAAUACAUGGUGACACGCAUAUUCUAGACAUUGCUGUGGAUUUGCCUUCUGUGACUGAAAUUUUCGGGUCAAAAUAUUCAACUACUCUUCUCUGCACUCGAUUAAGAUGUCAGAUCAACAGACCGGCCUCCGAUCACUUUAUCUAUUCUCUGUUGGUUCUUCUUGCUUGGUCUACUUGGGUGUAUAGCUCAGUUGAUUGGGUAUGCUGGGAUUAAUUAUAGCUCUCCUACUCUUGGCACGGCUAUGUCAACCUUAUUCCAGCUUUCACUUUUGUACUUGCAGUUAUAUUCAGGUCUUCAUAGCUAUUGCCCUUAUUUUGGGGGAUGGUCCAUACAAUUUGAUCAAGAUUAUAGCCAUUACUAUCAAGGAAAUAUGCAAUAAAAGUAGUAAACAGAGCAAUCUUCCUUUGGUUAAAGAAAAGUUGGAUGGUGAGAGUUCUGAAGUAACCCUGGAACAAAAAAAGAGGGAUGAGGUAUUUGUCAAGGAUAGAAUACCUCGAGGUGUGCAUUGAAGUGGCUGAUUAUAUACAGAGUUUGGUGUAAGACUUUUGGCUUCCAUGAUUUUGAGUAAGGCUAGUUUUUGCUUUGAAGCAAUGUUUGGUGUAGAACGUACUUUUGUAGUUUGUUGCUAAUAUGUUUCUAAGCUAGCCUUUGUAGGUUUUGGGUUUUAUUUUGUGAAUUAUGUUGAAUCAUGAAUUUGGAAAGAAAAUUAAUGGAAAGCUCCAAUUUUUGGGUGAUGAGAAA